UGGCUUAAUCUUUGAGACAAGCAUAUGACUACUGGCAGGAUCAACCAGGUAGCAUUCCUCUUCAACGUAGCCCACCAUGCAAGGACAAGCCAUAACACGGCAGGCAAUCGUUUUGGAGAAGCGAGAACGCUUAGGAGGGCAAAAUGAAGAUCUCAUAAUUUUCAAGGCCCACAUCAGGUUCCGUUUACAAGAGACCAAACGAUGCUUCAUAAGCCACGUCAUUGUUGCAAACGCAACAACACGGUGGAUCAUAGAGACCGCUUCAUUGUUCAUCCCACGCCACAUGAACGACGCAUGACGAAAAGGAAUAUCGUAAAACCCACACACGUUACCAUCAAUUAGGUAUGCAACACAGGAAACCCACAAUAUGCUCAAGACAAACCGGGUCUUGCCGCAAAACUGAAGAGGUAUGCAGCGUGGACGUUGGUGCGCAAGCAAACAGCCAUCCACACGUAACAAACCAAACACCACUCAUGCACCUCCCCGGUCGCAUUCCCGAAAGCCGCCCAACUAGUAGCCACCCACCCAACCAAACGGUCUUGAGCAAGCAACCAAAAGCCAAAACAGCCCCCAAAAUGCACA
rnacentral:misc_RNA from 1 species